CGGAAGUAAAGGAAGAUCUUUGGGGAAUACUAGAAAACACCAGUCAAUCAGACCAACAGUGAGGAGGGACAAAUGACACUUUCCUUCUAUCACACUGAGAAAUCUCUCCUUCACUUGUAUUUUGAUGCCCGGAAGAAUCAUGGGUGCUUCUUGGAUCUAUUAACUAAUCUCAGAAAGCCAAGGAAAAUGAACUAUAUGAUGACUGAGGUUGACAAAAGCAACUUUAAGUCACCAAGAGGCAAAAUGCCAAGUGGCACAUGAGGAACAACCAGCUCCUUGCCAGAGGUGGAAACUGUCCAAAGGAUAAUAUAAUUUUUCCAGUGAAGCAGAGUUCGUGCUAGAGAACCAACUCAACAUUUACCUAGACAGCUGAUGUCACCUCCAC